rnacentral:rRNA from 1 species
UGGGGCCGCAGAGACCAGUGAGAAGCGACUGUUUACUAAAAACACAGGUCCGUGCGAAGUCGUAAGACGAUGUAUACGGACUGACGCCUGCCCGGUGCUGGAAGGUUAAGAGGACCGGUUAGUUCCUUCGGGAGCGAAGCUGAGAAUUUAAGCCCCAGUAAACGGCGGUGGUAACUAUAACCAUCCUAAGGUAGCGAAAUUCCUUGUCGGGUAAGUUCCGACCUGCACGAAUGGCGUAACGACUUCUCAGCUGUCUCAACCGUAGACUCGGCGAAAUUGCAUUACGAGUAAAGAUGCUCGUUACGCGCGGCAGGACGAAAAGACCCCGGGACCUUCACUACAGCUUGGUAUUGGUGUUCGGUUCGGUUUGUGUAGGAUAGGUGGGAGACUGUGAAGCGGUGACGCCAGUUAUCGUGGAGUCGUUGUUGAAAUACCACUCUGAUCGAAUUGGACCUCUAACCUCGGACCAUGAUCUGGUUCAGGGACAGUGCCUGGUGGGUAGUUUAACUGGGGCGGUUGCCUCCCAAAAUGUAACGGAGGCGCCCAAAGGUUCCCUCAGCCUGGUUGGCAAUCAGGUGUCGAGUGCAAGUGCACAAGGGAGCUUGACUGUGAGACUGACAGGUCGAGCAGGGACGAAAGUCGGGACUAGUGAUCCGGCACCGGCAAGUGGAAGCGGUGUCGCUCAACGGAUAAAAGGUACCCCGGGGAUAACAGGCUGAUCUUCCCCAAGAGUCCAUAUCGACGGGAUGGUUUGGCACCUCGAUGUCGGCUCGUCGCAUCCUGGGGCUGGAGUAGGUCCCAAGGGUUGGGCUGUUCGCCCAUUAAAGCGGCACGCGAGCUGGGUUUAGAACGUCGUGAGACAGUUCGGUCUCUAUCCGCCGCGCGCGUUAGAAACUUGAGGAAGGCUGUCCCUAGUACGAGAGGACCGGGACGGACGAACCUCUGGUGUGCCAGUUGUUCCGCCAGGAGCACCGCUGGUUAGCUACGUUCGGAAGGGAUAACCGCUGAAAGCAUCUAAGCGGGAAGCCUGUUCCAAGAUGAGGUUUCUCACCCCCUCGAGGGGGUAAGGCCCCCGGCAGACCACCGGGUUGAUAGGCCAGAACUGGAAGUGCAGUAAUGCAUGCAGGUGACUGGUACUAAUAGGCCGAGGACUUACCACAA